rnacentral:rRNA from 1 species
UGAACGCUGGCGGCAUGCCUUACACAUGCAAGUCGAACGGCAGCACGGGUGCUUGCACCUGGUGGCGAGUGGCGAACGGGUGAGUAAUACAUCGGAACAUGUCCUGUAGUGGGGGAUAGCCCGGCGAAAGCCGGAUUAAUACCGCAUACGAUCUACGGAUGAAAGCGGGGGACCUUCGGGCCUCGCGCUAUAGGGUUGGCCGAUGGCUGAUUAGCUAGUUGGUGGGGUAAAGGCCUACCAAGGCGACGAUCAGUAGCUGGUCUGAGAGGACGACCAGCCACACUGGGACUGAGACACGGCCUAGACUCCUACGGGAGGCAGCAGUGGGGAAUUUUGGACAAUGGGCGAAAGCCUGAUCCAGCAAUGCCGCGUGUGUGAAGAAGGCCUUCGGGUUGUAAAGCACUUUUGUCCGGAAAGAAAUCCUUGGCUCUAAUACAGUCGGGGGAUGACGGUACCGGAAGAAUAAGCACCGGCUAACUACGUGCCAGCAGCCGCGGUAAUACGUAGGGUGCGAGCGUUAAUCGGAAUUACUGGGCGUAAAGCGUGCGCAGGCGGUUUGCUAAGACCGAUGUGAAAUCCCCGGGCUCAACCUGGGAACUGCAUUGGUGACUGGCAGGCUAGAGUAUGGCAGAGGGGGGUAGAAUUCCACGUGUAGCAGUGAAAUGCGUAGAGAUGUGGAGGAAUACCGAUGGCGAAGGCAGCCCCCUGGGCCAAUACUGACGCUCAUGCACGAAAGCGUGGGGAGCAAACAGGAUUAGAUACCCUGGUAGUCCACGCCCUAAACGAUGUCAACUAGUUGUUGGGGAUUCAUUUCCUUAGUAACGUAGCUAACGCGUGAAGUUGACCGCCUGGGGAGUACGGUCGCAAGAUUAAAACUCAAAGGAAUUGACGGGGACCCGCACAAGCGGUGGAUGAUGUGGAUUAAUUCGAUGCAACGCGAAAAACCUUACCUACCCUUGACAUGGUCGGAAUCCCGCUGAGAGGUGGGAGUGCUCGAAAGAGAACCGGCGCACAGGUGCUGCAUGGCUGUCGUCAGCUCGUGUCGUGAGAUGUUGGGUUAAGUCCCGCAACGAGCGCAACCCUUGUCCUUAGUUGCUACGCAAGAGCACUCUAAGGAGACUGCCGGUGACAAACCGGAGGAAGGUGGGGAUGACGUCAAGUCCUCAUGGCCCUUAUGGGUAGGGCUUCACACGUCAUACAAUGGUCGGAACAGAGGGUUGCCAACCCGCGAGGGGGAGCUAAUCCCAGAAAACCGAUCGUAGUCCGGAUUGCACUCUGCAACUCGAGUGCAUGAAGCUGGAAUCGCUAGUAAUCGCGGAUCAGCAUGCCGCGGUGAAUACGUUCCCGGGUCUUGUACACACCGCC